rnacentral:rRNA from 1 species
AGAGUUUGAUCCUGGCUCAGAUUGAACGCUAGCGGCAUGCCUUACACAUGCAAGUCGAACGGCAGCGCGGACUUCGGUCUGGCGGCGAGUGGCGAACGGGUGAGUAAUGCAUCGGAACGUGCCCAGUAGGCGGGGGAUAACUACGACGAAAGCGUAGCUAAUACCGCAUACGCCCGUACGGGGAAGGGGGGGAUCGCAAGACCUCUCACUAUUGGAGCGGCCGAUGUCGGAUUAGCUAGUUGGUGGGGUAAAGGCCUACCAAGGCGACGAUCCGUAGCUGGUUUGAGAGGACGACCAGCCACACUGGGACUGAGACACGGCCCAGACUCCUACGGGAGGCAGCAGUGGGGAAUUUUGGACAAUGGGGGCAACCCUGAUCCAGCCAUGCCGCGUGUGCGAAGAAGGCCUUCGGGUUGUAAAGCACUUUUGGCAGGAAAGAAACGGCGCCGGCUAAUAUCUGGCGUAACUGACGGUACCUGCAGAAUAAGCACCGGCUAACUACGUG